UCUCCUGGGGACAUCUGGUAACCCUGGGGCUGAAUCUGUAUAGUUCUUCUCAACUGGGACUCUGAAAGAGGACUGUUCCUUCGUAUGAGGCAGGGAGUGAUGGCAGUCAUGAAAAUGCCACAGGUGGAAACUAUGAGGUAGAGAAGAGACUGAAAGUGCCCUCCUCAUCCAAGAUGCACAUGGCUCCCAGACUCCCUCUCCUUCUGGAUUCAAGCCCCAAACACAUCCCAGCCUGCCCUCCUGGAGUCUCGUGGACCAUGCAAAGUGUUAUCAAAGCACCCUGGAGCUGAAACUGACCAAAGUCACAAAGCCCUGAAGGAGCUACAUUUGCCAUCAAUAACAGCAUCUGAGGGGAUCGAUGCCUGGCUGGGUCACACAAUCAAAAGAUGGACAACUUCAGUGACUUUAGAUUAUUCAAGAGUCGAUUUGCCCAAAGAUUAGUGAAAGGAGCUAAAAUGACUUGGAAAGAGAUUUUCCUGCAUCUCUACUUUCAAUACCUUGUCAGUUUGCAUAUUUCUCUCAGAAAAUUUUAAAAUUAAAAGACUACUUUUAAAAAAGGUAUUUAAAAAUGUAUUGUAAAAGUUUAAAUAAAUUUGCCAAUUGCUUGGGAUCUCUAGCCAGUGACUUUUCCACAUACACUUGCAAGAAAAUGUCUCUUCCAGUAAAACAGCAAGCCCUCCCCCUCCUACAUUUUACUGGCAGAAAUCAUUUUUUUGUUCAUUUAUUUUUGUAAUUGUUUACUGUGUGAAACUUUAAAAUUCAAACAACAGUUCUACCAUCAGAUACUCAAUGAUUGACACUUGACACUCUAUAUACGUAUAUAUUAUGUGUAUGAUGAAUAUAUACUGUGGGUACAUAUAUGUAUAUAUUCAUACAUAUAUCCCUAGAUUCAAUAAUUGCAAGAACAAAUUUCUUCGGUGAUGAUACUUGCUUUAUAAACAGU